ACAAGAUUAUCUGCUUAAAAAAUCAUGAUUCUCAUUCAUUAGCAUUCCCGAAGAUAAAAUCUUUUGAGGAUCGAAGUACUUGGCCACUAACAGGUACAGUUUCAGAUAUCAUAGAGCUCAACAGAUACAACAAAGACAGUUAUCAAAGUUGACAGAAAAUUUUACAGGAAAAAGAUUCUUGACUGAUGCAAUCCUAUGACGUCUAUGAUCAACCACUAGUUAAUAGCAGCUUUGAAAGAAAGCAUCCUAGUUGAUUCACUUCGGUCACCUUCACUGGACCAAAUUAAAAGGCAUCGCAACCUCCAGCAGGUCUGUCCCCACUAGAAUGACAUAUUUUCUGUGAUUUUGUACCUGGGCUGUAUAAAUAUACAACUACAGUCACCCUGCAGUGAGAAGGCAGUAACUGAUCAACCACUAAUAUAUAGUGUGUGUCAUAAAAGUUCGGUGAAACAGCACUAACAAAGCAAAUGGAGGAAGAAAGGAAAAACAAGCUGAGUACUUUUUCAGAAGAAGAAGAAAACGACGAUGAGGACGAGAGAAUUGAGAAGUUCUUCGCGAUAAUAAGAAGGCUUAGAGAUGCUCGCAUGUAUUCGAGAACCUGUUUGCGAGAACAGGAGGCAUGUAAGAUAGCAAAGAAGGCAAAGAAAGCCCACGCACCUGUAUGGACUCCAAAGUUUCAACUGGAAGAUUUUGAGGAGCCAGGGUUGGAAUCCACUCGCAUAUCUCAACCAAGUUCCUCAAAUAAGGAAUGUGGAAAGGAGAAGAAAGAAGAACUAGAUCUGAACCUUACCUUGUAUUGACUGUGGAGGUCAAAUACAGUGCAUGGGAUAUGAUAUGCUUCAGAGUAGUAUUUUCAAGAUGCAUGAAACAUGUGAUGCAGCAGAGUUAGAGCAGUAGUGUGUGUUGAAUAAAAGGUUGCAUGUAUGUUCAGUUGGGUCG
rnacentral:lncRNA from 1 species